GACGGCGAACUGGGUGCGGUAGAGCUCGGCGUAGAGGCCGCCGGUGGCGACGAGUUCGGCGUGGCGGCCGCGUUCCACGACGCGGCCGUCGUCG
rnacentral:tRNA from 1 species